rnacentral:misc_RNA from 1 species
GUAUAGUAGUGCGUGUGCACAACAGUAAUUUCAUUACAUUCGAGUGGGUGUAAAAUCCUCUGCUGGCCGAAGCUAGCAAGAGGCCAAAGGUGCACAGGGUAUUGGAUGAAAGUCACCAACGUGCACUUGCUCAGGAGCCAGCACUGAAGGCAACGAUUCAAAAUCACUAAUGAUCCUUCCGCAGGUUCACCUACGGAAA